UACGUAGGUGGCAAGCGUUGUCCGGAUUUACUGGGCGUAAAGGGCGUGCAGGCGGUCCGUUAAGUUCGAGGUGAAAGCUCCCGGCUCAACUGGGAGAGGUCCCCGGAUACUGGCGGACUUGAGGGAGGCAGAGGAAAGUGGAAUUCCCGGUGUAGUGGUGAUAUGCGUAGAUAUCGGGAGGAACACCAGUGGCGAAGGCGGCUUUCUGGGCCUUACCUGACGCUGAGACGCGAAAGCGUGGGGAGCGAACCGGAUUAGAAACCCCCGUAGUCC
rnacentral:rRNA from 1 species